rnacentral:rRNA from 1 species
AGAGUUUGAUUCUGGCUCAGGACGAACGCUGGCUGCGUGCUUAACACAUGCAAGUUGAACGGUAUGACAUGGAAGCUUGCUGAAGUGUCAUAUAGUAGCGGACGGGUGAGUAAUGCAUGAGAAGCUGCCAUUGGGAGGGGGACAACAGUUGGAAACGGCUGCUAAUACCCCGUAUGCCGGAGGGUGAAAGGGAGUAAUCCGCCCGAUGAGGUGCUCAUGUCCUAUCAGCUGGUUGGUGGGGUAACGGCCUACCAAGGCGACGACGGGUAGCCGGCCUGAGAGGGUGAACGGCCACACUGGAACUGAGAUACGGUCCAGACUCCUACGGGAGGCAGCAGUGGGGAAUAAUUGGGCAAUGGGGGCAACCCUGACCCAGCGACGCCGCGUGGGGGAAGACGGCCUUCGGGUUGUAAACCUCUUUUGUACGGGAAGAAGGAAGUGACGGUACUGUACGAAUAAGUCCCGGCUAACUACGUGCCAGCCGCCGC